CCUACGGGAGGCAGCAGUGGGGAAUUUUGGACAAUGGGCGCAAGCCUGAUCCAGCAAUGCCGCGUGCAGGAUGAAGGCCUUCGGGUUGUAAACUGCUUUUGUACGGAACGAAACGGCGAGCUCUAAUACAGUUUGCUAAUGACGGUACCGUAAGAAUAAGCACCGGCUAACUACGUGCCAGCAGCCGCGGUAAUGCGUAGGGUGCGAGCGUUAAUCGGAAUUACUGGGCGUAAAGCGUGCGCAGGCGGUGAUGUAAGACAGAUGUGAAAUCCCCGGGCUCAACCUGGGACCUGCAUUUGUGACUGCAUCGCUAGAGUACGGUAGAGGGGGAUGGAAUUCCGCGUGUAGCAGUGAAAUGCGUAGAUAUGCGGAGGAACACCGAUGGCGAAGGCAAUCCCCUGGACCUGUACUGACGCUCAUGCACGAAAGCGUGGGGAGCAAACAGGAUUAGAUACCCUGGUAGUCCGCGCCCUAAACGAUGUCAACUGGUUGUUGGGUCUUCACUGACUCAGUAACGAAGCUAACGCGUGAAGUUGACCGCCUGGGGAGUACGGCCGCAAGGUUGAAACUCAAAUGAAUUGACGG
rnacentral:rRNA from 1 species